UAUGUGCACUGGGCUCUGACUCCCGC
rnacentral:piRNA from 1 species